GCUGCUGUGCAACCACUGCAGUGUAUAAAGGUGUCACAUGUCUGGGAGCUAAUUGGAAUUGAUCUAACUGGACCUCUUCCAAAACAGUCUAGUGGCUUCCAGUACAUUCUGACUGCAACAGACCAUUUUUCAAAAUGAGUUGAGGCUUUUCCGUUAAAAAGCAAAAGUGCUGCUGAGGUAGCUCAUCAGUUGUGCUCAAUCGUGUAUAGACAUGGCUGCCCAAAAAGAAUUUUAUCUGACCAAGGAAGAGAAUUUGUUAACGAGCUCAACUCAAGACUUUGCAGCUUAAUGAAAAUAGAUACGCUGCUGUGACACUCCUAUCACCCACAGACAAAUGGCCUCGACGAAAAGACAAAUGACAACAUAAAAAGAGCCCUGAGAAAAUUAGUCAACAGUCAACAGAAUGAGUGGGAUGUGUAUCUGGAUGCUACACUGUUAUCUUUGAGCUCUAAGGUCCACACCACAACCAAAUACACCCCAUUCCAUUUAAUGUAUGGGAGAGAAGCUACGUGUCCUUCUGAAGUUCCUGUUGAAGUCCCGGUAAGUGUUUUUAAGGAAUUCUGU